rnacentral:lncRNA from 1 species
UGUGUUUAACGUUUUUACCUUUCUCCAAUAUUCAAUUACCCUGAAUUCAGAACAUGCAAAGGAAACCAAUUUGUAUUUGCAUUGAGUUCUACUGGUCGGACAAUCCUAAUAAUUUUCGAAAAACAAUAUCUACAUGCUUUGGCCGGUUAAAACCUUUUCUGGAAAACAAUUAAACCAACCGUAAAAAAUCAAAUAUCAAAUUCGAAAGGAAAACAACCCAUGGUUCAAAUAUCAUAUUUGUAAACAUAAUUUUUUUUUUUAAUAUAUGUUGUAUAUUUCUAAAUCACAAACAUGUUUAUAUACUCAAGAUAAUCAACUUCGAUCAUACACCAAAUAUUUUCAUAUUAUGAAAAUAAAUAAAAAAACUCAGUUACAAAACAAAAUCACUCGUAAAUAAUAAACAUAGACCAUUGUAAUAUAAAAAAGAGAAGCGUAAAGGCCCAAACAAACUGACUUUACUCGAAAACUAAA